ACGUGGCACCUUUGGGCGUUUGGAAAUUGCUCCCAAGGAUGAACCAGAAUUGUGGAGAUCUACAAUUUGGCUGAUUUCAUUUUCCCAUGAUGUCAAGCAAAGAGGCACCGAGUUUGAAGGUGGUGCUAGAUGUGGGCUGUGGGAUGGGCAUCCUGUCUAUGUUCGCUGCCAGAGCGGGAGCCAAGAUGGUCAUUGGGGUGGACCAAUCAGAAAUCAUCCUCCAGGCCAUGGACAUUGUCAGGUCGAACCAGCUGUAGGACAGGGUCACUCUGAUAAAGGGCAGAAUAGAGGAGGUCAAACUUCCCCUUGAGAUGGUGGACAUCAUCAUC